GCUGGCGGCACGCCUAACACAUGCAAGUCGAACGCAGUAGCAAUACUGAGUGGCAAACGGGUGAGUAUAAUGUGGGAAUCUGCCUUUUGGUUUGGAAUAACACGGGGAAACUUGUGCUAAUACCGAAUAAGCCUUUACAGGGAAAGUUUUAACGCCGAAAGAUGAGCCCGCACUUGAUUAGCUAGUUGGUAAGGUAAAAGCUUACCAAGGCAAUGAUCAAUAGCUGUUCUUAGAGGAAGACCAGCCACAUUGGGACUGAGACACGGCCCAGACUCCUACGGGAGGCAGCAGUGGGGAAUCUUGCACAAUGGGGGAAACCCUGAUGCAGCGAUGCCGCGUGAGUGAAGAAGGCCUUUGGGUUGUAAAACUCUUUCGUCGGGGAAGAAAAUGACUGUACCCGAAUAAGAAGGUCCGGCUAACUUCGUGCCAGCAGCCGCGGUAAUACGAAGGGACCUAGCGUAGUUCGGAAUUACUGGGCUUAAAGAGCUCGUAGGUGGUUAAAAAAGUUGAUGGUGAAAUCCCAAGGCUUAACCUUGGAACUGCCAUCAAAACUUUUUAGCUAGAGUGUGAUAGAGGUAAGUGGAAUUUCUAGUGUAGAGGUGAAAUUCGUAGAUAUUAGAAAGAACACCAAAUGCGAAGGCAACUUACUGGGUCACUACUGACACUGAGGAGCGAAAGCAUGGGUAGCGAAGAGGAUUAGAUACCCUCGUAGUCCAUGCCGUAAACGAUGUGUGCUAGACGUUGGAAAUAUAUUUUUCAGUGUCGCAGCGAAAGCAUUAAGCACACCGCCUGGGGAGUACGACCGC
rnacentral:rRNA from 1 species